rnacentral:rRNA from 1 species
UGUAAGCCGUUGAAGGUGGCCUGUGAGGGUUGCUGGAGGUAUCAGAAGUGCGAAUGCUGACAUAAGUAACGAUAAAGCGGGUGAAAAGCCCGCUCGCCGGAAGACCAAGGGUUCCUGUCCAACGUUAAUCGGGGCAGGGUGAGUCGACCCCUAAGGCGAGGCCGAAAGGCGUAGUCGAUGGGAAACGGGUUAAUAUUCCCGUACUUGGUGUUACUGCGAAGGGGGGACGGAGAAGGCUAUGUUGGCCGGGCGACGGUUGUCCCGGUUUAAGCGUGUAGGUGUGUGUUCCAGGUAAAUCCGGUUCACUUUAACACUGAGGCGUGACGACGAGGCACUACGGUGCUGAAGCAACAAAUGCCCUGCUUCCAGGAAAAGCCUCUAAGCAUCAGGUAACAUCAAAUCGUACCCCAAACCGACACAGGUGGUCAGGUAGAGAAUACCAAGGCGCUUGAGAGAACUCGGGUGAAGGAACUAGGCAAAAUGGUGCCGUAACUUCGGGAGAAGGCACGCUGACACGUAGGUGAAGUGAUUUACUCAUGGAGCUGAAGUCAGUCGAAGAUACCAGCUGGCUGCAACUGUUUAUUAAAAACACAGCACUGUGCAAACACGAAAGUGGACGUAUACGGUGUGACGCCUGCCCGGUGCCGGAAGGUUAAUUGAUGGGGUCAGCGCAAGCGAAGCUCCUGAUCGAAGCCCCGGUAAACGGCGGCCGUAACUAUAACGGUCCUAAGGUAGCGAAAUUCCUUGUCGGGUAAGUUCCGACCUGCACGAAUGGCGUAAUGAUGGCCAGGCUGUCUCCACCCGAGACUCAGUGAAAUUGAACUCGCUGUGAAGAUGCAGUGUACCCGCGGCAAGACGGAAAGACCCCGUGAACCUUUACUAUAGCUUGACACUGAACAUUGAGCCUUGAUGUGUAG